rnacentral:rRNA from 1 species
GACGAACGCUGGCGGCGUGCCUAAUACAUGCAAGUAGAACGCUGAAGAGAGGAGCUUACUCUUCUUGGAUGAGUAGCGAACGGGUGAGUAACGCGUAGGUAACCUGCCUUGUAGCGGGGGAUAACUAUUGGAAACGAUAGCUAAUACCGCAUAACAAUGGAUGACACAUGUCAUUUAUUUGAAAGGGGCAAUUGCUCCACUACAAGAUGGACCUGCGUUGUAUUAGCUAGUAGGUGAGGUAAUGGCUCACCUAGGCGACGAUACAUAGCCGACCUGAGAGGCUGAUCUGCCACGCCGGUACUGAGACACGGCCCAGACUCCUGCGGGUGGCAGCAGUAGGGAAUCUUCGGCAAUGGGGGCAAUCCUGACCGAUCAACGCCGCGUGAGUGAAUAAGGUUUUCGGAUCGUAAAGCUCUGUUGGAAGUCAAGAUCGGAUGUGAGAGUGGAAAGUUCACACUGUGACGGUAGCUUACCAGAAAGGGACGGCUAACUACGUG